GACGAACGCUGGCGGCGUGCCUAACACAUGCAAGUCGAGCGGAGAUAAGCGGAAGGUAACUGAAGCUUAUCUUAGCGGCGGACGGGUGAGUAACACGUGGGCAACCUGCCUUGAAGUGGGGGAUAACACCGGGAAAUCGGUGCUAAUACCGCAUAACAUACACAAACUGCAUGGUGAGUGUAUCAAAGGAGCAAUCCGCUUUAAGAUGGGCCCGCGGCUGAUUAGCUAGUUGGUAAGGUAACGGCUUACCAAGGCGACGAUCAGUAGCCGACCUGAGAGGGUGACCGGCCACACUGGAACUGAGACACGGUCCAGACUCCUACGGGAGGCAGCAGUGGGGAAUAUUGCGCAAUGGGGGAACCCUGACGCAGCAACGCCGCGUGGAGGAAGAAGGUCUUCGGAUUGGUAAACUCCUGUCUUCUGGGACGAAUAAUGACGGUACCAGAGGAGGAAGCCACGGCUAACUACGUG
rnacentral:rRNA from 1 species